GGAAGUAAAAAGUCGUAACAAGGUCUCCGUAGGUGAACCUGCGGAGGGAUCAUUACUGAAUGGCCCUUGGGCCUUCAACCCAUCAAACAUGUGGACCUUGAAAAUUGUGCUUCGGCGCUGCUCAGGCGGCGUCGCUUUUAUGCGGAAAGCUGGAUUUUGUCUGAUCUAUCAAAAAGAUUAAAAACUUUCAACAAAGGAUCUCUUGGCUCUC
rnacentral:misc_RNA from 1 species